GAACAGAUAGGUUUGGUCCUGGCCUUUUUAUUAGUUAUUUGUAAGAUUACACAUGCAAGCAUCCCUACCCCAGUGAAAACGCCCUCUAGAUCACCCGGAUCAAAGGAGCAGGUAUCAAGCACGCACACACAAAUGCAGCUCAAAACACUUGGCUCAACCACACCCCCACAGGAAACAGUAGUGUUAAAUCUAGUAAUAAACAGAAGUUUAACUAAGCUAUACUAAUAUUUAGGGUUGGUUAAUUUUGUGCCAGCCACUGUGGCCAUAGAGUUAACCCAAGCUAAUAGAACUUGGCGUAAAGAGUGUUUAAGGUCUGCCCUCAAUAAAGCUAAACUCCAUCUAAGUUGUAAAAAACUCCAGUUGAAAUAAAAUAUACUACAGAAGUAGCUUUAAUACCCUGAAGACACAGCAGCUAAGACAAGAACUGGGAUUAGACACCCCACUAUGCUUAGCUCUAAACCCUAAUAGUUACAUUAACAAAACCAUUCGCCAGAGUAGUACAAGCAACAGCUUAAAACUCAAAGGAUUUGGCAGUGCUUUAUAUCCCUCCAGAGGAGCCUGUUCUAUAAUCGAUAAACCCCGAUACACCUCACUGUCUCUUGCCCCCGGCCUAUAUGCCGCCAUCUGCAGCACGCCCUAAAAAAGGUUAUAGAGUAAGCACAAGUACACACAUAAAACGUUGGGUCAAGGUGUAGCCCAUGAGGUGGCAAGAAAUAGGCAACAUUUUCUAUGUCCAGAAAAUCUCACGACAGCCUUUAUGAAAUCUAAGGGCUUAAAGAGGAUUGAGCAGUAAACCAAGAGCAGUGUUUGAUCGAAUAAGGCCAUGAAGCACGCACACAAAACCCAUUAUCCUCCUCAAAUACUACUCUAGAAAUCACUAUUACUGUUAAUUUUCUACACAGGUAUAGAGAAGAUAAGUUGUAACAUGGUAAGCAUACUGGAAAGUGCGCUUGGACAAGCCAAAGU
rnacentral:ncRNA from 1 species